GAUGAACGCUGGCGGCGUGCCUAAUACAUGCAAGUCGAGCGAACAGACGGGGAGCUUGCUCCUCUGACGUUAGCGGCGGACGGGUGAGUAACACGUGGAUAACCUACCUAUAAGACUGGGAUAACUUCGGGAAACCGGGGCUAAUACCGGAUAAUAUAUUGAACCGCAUGGUUCAAUAGUGAAAGACGGUUUUGCUGUCACUUAUAGAUGGAUCCGCGCCGCAUUAGCUAGUUGGUAAGGUAACGGCUUACCAAGGCAACGAUGCGUAGCCGACCUGAGAGGGUGAUCGGCCACACUGGAACUGAGACACGGUCCAGACUCCUACGGGAGGCAGCAGUAGGGAAUCUUCCGCAAUGGGCGAAAGCCUGACGGAGCAACGCCGCGUGAGUGAUGAAGGUCUUCGGAUCGUAAAACUCUGUUAUUAGGGAAGAACAAAUGUGUAAGUAACUAUGCACGUCUUGACGGUACCUAAUCAGAAAGCCACGGCUAACUACGUG
rnacentral:rRNA from 1 species